CUCAAGAGCUGGGAGGGGCUGUCCAGAUUGUAAGGGUGAUGGGUGCAGGGGAGGUGGCUCACACAAACACUGUGCACUGUUGGCUACGAAAUGGGCAAGGGCUGCUCUUUGAGCUGUGCCACUGUGGUGGGUCUGCCAGGGUCCCUGACCUGGCCAUGACCACAGAAACAUGGACUGGAUGGUCUUUCAGAUACAGAUGUCUGCCCCUCAGUGCAGAACAUUCUAGAGCCUCCCCCAGCUUCCAGCUUAGCCAGUGGGCUAAGGAGCUGGACACUGCUCUGACCCUGAGGCCCUUCAACCCAUGCUACCAAAAGACCUGCUCACAGUGCUGAUUGUGUCUCAAGCUGAAUAGAGGGCAGACAAGCCCCUCUUGAAGACCCAGGAGGCCUGGAGUCCACUUGAUAGGCAGGUACUUUAGACACAGUGUGCCCUGCUGGCCUCUGCUCACCCCAUGGGUCAGCGUCCCUCUCACACUAUUGGCCUGUCUCUAAGUUGGCCUCACACUGGCGUCAAGGCCAACACUGAACAAGAAGAGGGAAGGGGGCAGGAAGUUCUAGGACACCAAAUCUGACACUACAGGGACACGGUGACAGGUUUCUGUGGAAUUCUGAGGUACAGGCCCCUGGUAGGAGGUGGCCAGCAGGGAGGUGGCCUAGUGCAGAUGGAGGUGGCCACUACCUCCCCCGGCACGGCGGAUUAUCUGCAGAGCUGUUCCUCUGCAGUCUGAACCUGGGCCUUUGCACUCUUGUGUGAUGGACCUGGCUGCAUCUCCUGUCCACAUGUCCACUGUCUGUGUCUAUGUCUUACACACCCACACCUGACCAGCUCUGUCCAGCUGUCUGUGAAUGGCAGCAGCUGGCCCACUGCUUGGCCACAGCCGUUAGACAGGUACAGGAAGGACAGUUUUUGGAGGCAGCACUAAGUUUGUGAUUUCUUUACAUAUGGAGGUAUGAUUUUAUACAGUAGCUGAGAAACUCACAAAUAUGUUUUUGUUAAUUUGCAUGUUUAUUAUGCUUAUCUUACUUAAAAAUUACUGCAAAAGCAUCAUUUGUUCUCCUGUUUGUGGAGCCCUUUCUCAGCCUCAUGGAUGCAACAAGCUUUUGUAGAGGUCUUCCCUGGAGCGCUCGAGCCACUCGAGCCACUCGAGCCCAGCUUUUGGGAGGAGCAUCUCCAUCUCCAGCUACGUCUAGCCCCUGAUCUCACGUGAGGGAAUGGAGAGUAUUCCUCUAAGUCCUGUGUUCAUUGCUUAGAGCUUUCUUUU
rnacentral:lncRNA from 1 species